CUUUUAAGGUGGAAGACACUUGCACUGAAUUAAUUUAUUAGUUUCUCCUUUUAGGAAUGAAGCACGUAGUCACUAUGGCAGAGUUGCAGAACAUUUGGUGCAACAGUACACACACUGCCACCACAACAAAUGACAGUAAUCAAGUUAAAUAGCACAGUGCCGUGAUUCCCUCCAGUACUGUGAGAGUACAGCAUUGUUGGAGCAUAUUUUACAGAAUGCUAUGCAUUCAUUCUACUCCCAGAGCCUCAAAGCUUAAUUGUUGUUCUUUGAAAAUCCCACACACAAUCGUAUGAAAGGACUCACUCACAUGUAUACAUGUUUAAGGAGGCCUCUUGAAACCACCUGAGCUUGCCUGACAGAGGAAAAAAUAAUGUUCUGAAGAAGGCAGCCAUUUGAUCAUAAAUCUUCAGCUUUUUCCAGUACGGGGUCCACAAUGUAACUUUGUAGGCUAGGGGCUUUCUCUGCCUUAAUGUACAUUCUUGCACUGGGGAGAUGUGUGUAGGGAGGGUACAAGGGUGGGGAGGAGAUGGGAUGCAUGCGGAACAGAGUUUUAGUUGCCUUGGUGACCCAGCGUCUUUCUGUUCUCCUUAUCUCUUUGUAUUCAGGCCUUUUGUGUGCUCUAGUGUCCCAUACAAGUGCAGUUUUAAAUCUGAGUCUCAGCUAUUGGAAAGGGAUCCUUGUCUAUGUACUUGUCAGUACGGGUGCAACAUUGCUCACAGUUCUUACUGUUGUAAAGUGAGUGCACAAUCAAUGAACGACCCCUAGUGCUGUCACCUGUGAGUCCAUUCUGCAGGCUGCUUGCUGCUGUGUCUGCAGAAGGAGGUUGCAUGACUACAGAUGUCCACUUCUGAUGGCACCUGAGGCUUUGGCAGGCCUGCCUGGAUGGCAUGCGCACAAGGCCUGUGAACACCUCUCUGUCUGUCCACAACACCAGACAGGAGUGCUCAGCGCUGUGUUUCCUGGGCAGCGUGAUGCUGUCUCACCGCACACUGUUUGCAGAGGGAAACUUGUACUCCAGCAUACUGACAGAGCAAGAAGAACAAACACCAAUCAAGGUAGGAGGAUGUGUGUGUGUGUGUGUGUGUGUGUGUGUGUCUACAUUCCCAUUUGCCUUCAAAACAGCUUCAGUCUUUUUUGGAAUGGUAUCAUUCAGGUUAUGAAUUGCAUGGAAUAGAAUGCAGGACCAUUUUUCAUGAAGAAGAGGCUCGGGGUUUCGAGGGAUAAAGAGUGUGAGUGACAGAGAGUGUGUGUGUCCCACUGAUGUAUGGAUGAGUGACCCAUUGUAAGUAGUGUAUCAAGCAGUAUAAAUCACCUUGGUGAAUAAGGUGUGUGGGUUGAUAACACUACAUAGAGUUAAUUGGAAGUUGCUUUGGAGAAAAGUGUCUGCUUACUAAAUGAAAGUAAAUGUAAGUAAAGGAUGUGAAAAUGUCCCUCACAUUCUGCGCUCCUGAAUUUUUGAUUUUAUUGUCUUAGGAUAUAGGGACAAUUGUGAAAAAACAACAGGAUGCACUUGGCCAAUUUAAAAUAGGGGCCUCUGAUGUUCAUAAACCUUGGUUAUUACAUGACUGUGCAGAGCAAUCAUGAGUCCCAAUGAUCCCCACAAGUUGACUGCUCAUACCUCUACAGAUCUGUCAAUCUACUUUAUAUAUAGCAGAAGACAGCAUGGGUUGAAGGCAUUCUCUAGUUUUCUCUAAAAGCACCCGGCCAUAUCACUUUUAUCAUUUGUGUUCAUUAUUCUACAUGAAACAUUUUCAUGUCUUGGCCGUCUAUACAAAGGGAUUCCGAAAUGCAGCCCUCACCAAAUAAACUGUGUUGCACAAGCCA
ensembl:lncRNA